rnacentral:rRNA from 1 species
UACAGAGGGUGCGAGCGUUGUUCGGAAUUAUUGGGCGUAAAGGGCGCGUAGGCGGUGCGGUAAGUCACCUGUGAAAUCUCCUGGCUCAACUGGGAGCUUGCAGGCGAAACUGCCGUGCUGGAGUGUGGGAGAGGUGCGUGGAAUUCCUGGUGUAGCGGUGAAAUGCGUAGAUAUCAGGAGGAACACCUAUGGCGAAGGCAGCUCUCUGGUACGUGACUGACGCUGAGACGCGAAAGCGUGGGGAGCGAACAGG